AACCUGCCCUUGACUCUGGGAUAACCUCCGGAAACGGAAGCUAAUACCGGAUAUGACGCACGGAGGCAUCUCCUGUGCGUGGAAAGAACUUCUGUCCUGGAUGGACUCCCGGCCUAUCAGGUAGUUGGUGAGGUAACGGCCCACCAAGCCUACGACGGGUAGCCGGCCUGAGAGGGUGACCGGCCACACUGGGACUGAGACACGGCCCAGACUCCUACGGGAGGCAGCAGUGGGGAAUAUUGCACAAUGGGCGAAAGCCUGAUGCAGCAACGCCGCGUGAGGGAUGACGGCCUUCGGGUUGUAAACCUCUUUUAGUAGGGAAGAAGCGAAAGUGACGGUACCUGCAGAAAAAGCACCGGCUAACUACGUGCCAGCAGCCGCGGUAAUACGUAGGGUGCGAGCGUUGUCCGGAAUUAUUGGGCGUAAAGAGCUCGUAGGCGGUCUGUCGCGUCUGCUGUGAAAACCCGAGGCUCAACCUCGGGCUUGCAGUGGGUACGGGCAGACUAGAGUGCGGUAGGGGAGAAUGGAAUUCCUGGUGUAGCGGUGGAAUGCGCAGAUAUCAGGAGGAACACCGAUGGCGAAGGCAGUUCUCUGGGCCGUAACUGACGCUGAGGAGCGAAAGCGUGGGGAGCGAACAGGAUUAGAUACCCUGGUAGUCCACGCCGUAAACGUUGGGCGCUAGAUGUGGGGACCAUUCCACGGUUUCCGUGUCGCAGCUAACGCAUUAAGCGCCCCGCCUGGGGGAGUACGGCCGCAAGGCUAAAACUCAA
rnacentral:rRNA from 1 species